UCUAACGAUAGCAGGGAGAGGAAAUAUUCCGUCAAAGCUGUGAGCAGGGAAGGAAACAGCCUGGACCGGGGCCAAAGACACACGGUCUCUUAGCAACUCAGGAGCCAGCUUUUUCAGUUGGGGAAGCCAACUGGUGGAAGUUCCAUCCUGCCCAGCCAGGAAUCACAGAGAGAUGCCCCCAUGGUGGCCGGUGGCCAGUGGGCGUGCUGAUCAUCAUUUUCGGGCCCUGUUAUCCAAGCAGCAGAAAAUCAAGUGCCCUCAGAGGGCAGGCAACUGUCUUCUCAAGAAAACAAAACAAAACAAAAUGAAGAUGCCCAAGGCCAAAGCACAAAACACUGAUAACCAGCUAUCCCACAAAUCUGAGACUGACUGUUACUCUGAAUCUUCAAGGAAUCCAGGAUAUUACUGUCAUCAAAUCAGUGAGAGGCCCCUCCAGCUGGAUCAGGACAAAGGGAGAGAAGAAAUCUGAUGGGCAGGAGAAGCAGCUGCUAAGCGUGCAAAGCAGGCAAUAGGCACAUAAACAGGCUUACUACUAGAAGCAGCUCUGUGCAAAGCCUUCCAUUAGAGUUGAAGAAUGCUUCUGGAGUCUCCCUUGAAACUUUCAUACAAAAUCUGAAGAGAAUGCCUCAGAAGGGGUCUUGAUGGGUUUUAUUGGAUCAAAGGGCCUUUCAUAAUAAAGAAACCGCACAGAGAUUUACGGAGUGCAUUAAAAAGGAACGGCUUCUCGCCAGCCCUGGUAGAAUUACACACCAAUAAAAAAUGUUUGGGCCAA